CGGUGGGGUAAGAGCCCACCGCCGGGGCCGCGAGGUUCCCGGGCACGGCAAACCCCGGCCGGAGCAAGGCCAAAUAGGGAGGCGCUUGAGGGUGGCCCGCCCGAUGCCUCCGGGUAGGCCGCGAAGAUGAAUGGCCCCCCGCGGACAGAAUCCGGCCUAUGUCCCUCUCCCCGG
rnacentral:RNase_P_RNA from 1 species